UAGGGAAUCUUCGGCAAUGGACGAAAGUCUGACCGAGCAACGCCGCGUGAGUGAAGAAGGUUUUCGGAUCGUAAAACUCUGUUGGUAGAGAAGAACGUUGGUGAGAGUGGAAAGCUCAUCAAGUGACGGUAACUACCCUGAAAGGGACGGCUAACUACGUGCUAG
rnacentral:rRNA from 1 species